rfam:Ricinus communis cultivar Hale ctg_1100012358588, whole genome shotgun sequence.
AGGAGCCGUAUGAGAUGAAAAUCUCAUGUACGGUUCUAGAACGGAGAUUCUUUGAAUCAAAUGACGACAGUAACGGAUGCCUGCUCAAUCCGAAGGAAAUUAUGCAAAAGCUUUACAGAAUUAUUAUGAAGCUAUGCGGCUAGAAAUUGAUCCUUAUGAUUGAAGUUAUAUACUCUAU